GGUGUCACUUAGCCACGUCCUGCCUUGCCAGGGUGUCUUUGGGGGUUCUGCAGCUCUGCAGCUCUCCAGCUCUCGAGGGCUCUGGAGACCUCGGCCCUCCUCCCCAGGCUGCUGCAGCUCUCCUGGCGGCCGGAGCCCCACAGUGUGGGCACCAGGGUGGGAAAGCUGCCGCUUUCUCCCCAGCUCGGUGGGAAUUGGAAUUUUGGUUUUCUUACCCAAUCUGUUUGCUAUUCUUAACUUUUCAGAGUGGGGCUUGCUUGUGGUUGCAGUUUUCCAGCCUGCAGUGUUCUGUCACAGGAGCCCCCGCUGACAGGUGGGCGGGCAUCUCCAGCCAGAGGAGGGCUUUUCUGUUGCCGCCAAUGCCAGGUGCCCCCAGACUGACCGCCCCGUCUCAGGGAGCACAUCUGCAUGAGUCUGCCCAGCCGCCGUGACAGAGCCCCGCAGCCCAGGAGGCUGAAGUGACAGAAAUGAUCUCAUGGUUCGGGAGCCAGAAGUCCAAGGUCAAGGUGUUGGCAGCGUUGGUUCCUCGGGGGCCUCUUUCCUCGGCAGGUCUGCUUUCCUUAGACUGACGUGUGGAGUGAUACCAUGUGCGGGACUGUGACGCGGUCUCACCCACGGGACCUCAGUCUCAUGGGGACACAGGCAAGCAAGCUACUGAUGACAGCCCACUGCGAGCCGGGCUAGGGUCCCCGCCAACAAAUGUCUACUGAAUAAAUCACUGAACUUUUCUCCUGCUCUGCCAUCCAUGGCGGAACCGCCACCGAGAUGCAGAUUUUUGUGAAGACCCCUAGCAGAACACCAUCGCUCUCCAGGGCGAGCCCUCGGAUGCCCCAGAAAAUGUGAAGGCCAGGAUCCGGGGUGAGGAGCAGCUACUUCUGACCAGCAAAGACUGGUCUUUGCCGCACGCACCUGGAAG